CACGUAGGGCGCAAACGUUGUUCGGAAUUACUGGGCGUAAAGCGCGUGUAGGCGGCCAUGCAAGUCGGAUGUGAAAGCCCUCGGCUCAACCGGGGAAGUGCACUCGAAACUGCAAGGCUAGAGUCUCGGAGAGGAUCGUGGAAUUCUCGGUGUAGAGGUGAAAUUCGUAGAUAUCGAGAGGAACACCGGUGGCGAAGGCGGCGAUCUGGACGAUGACUGACGCUGAGACGCGAAAGCGUGGGGAGCAAACAGG
rnacentral:rRNA from 1 species